UGCCGCCGAGCGCGGGCUGGCGAGCGCCUGCUAGGACACCCAGAAUAUCUUGCUAGAGAAAACCAUGCCAAGCCUGAAAACAUUGGGGACCUGAGGCCAAGUUCAACAAGCCCAGGGAACUUUCUGGCAAGAAAUGAUUCCAUCUGUAACAAGGCCAGUCUCGUGGGCUGGAGCUCACAAUUGGCAGGAAGUUACAGAGCCAUAACUCAGAUGGGAUAAGAUUCAUCAUUGGGCCCCUGGACUUCUCACCUGGGACCCUAAGAAUGCACCUUUGAAGCCUUUGUCUUCCCUCCUGCCUAAUAGAUUGGGGAUCUGUGGGAGAGUAUGACUCUGGAACCAGUGCUUCAGACAGACAUUGUUGAAGCUGCCAGACUGCAACAGGAUAUAAACCUGAGGAUGUUAUUUGUGUGGGAUUCUACAACUUCAUCACUGGAUCAAGUGAACAUACAAGGACCUGCACAUUUGAUCCUAGCACCUCCCCAUACCCGCCACACACGGAUUCAUCAUCCUCAUGUUUGUGCUACCGACCUUUGCACAUGCCACUUCCUUUGCCUGGAAAGGAUUUUCCGAUUCUGGUUGCUUGGCAAAGCCCAGUCAUCCUUCAAGAACCAACUCCAAGGUCACCUCCUCUGUGAAGCAUCCCCAGAAAGGAGAUUGGCUCUGUCAUCUCUACACUCAUUCACCCACACGUGCUUAUUGAGUGCCGUCCCUGACCUUCAGCCAAGACCACCAGGGACAUGCCAGCAGUGAA